rnacentral:tRNA from 1 species
GCCAGAUUAGCUCAGGGGUAGAGCAGAGGAUUGAAAAUCCUUGUGUCACUAGUUCAAAUCUAGUAUUUGGCACCA